UAGUCCACGCCGUAAACGAUGGAUACUAGCUGUCUGGAACCUUGAGUUCUGGGCGGCCAAGCGAAAGUGAUAAGUAUCCCACCUGGGGAGUACGUUCGCAAGAAUGAAACUCAAAGGAAUUGACGGGGGCCCGCACAAGCGGUGGAGCAUGUGGUUUAAUUCGAUGAUACGCGAGGAACCUUACCAGGGCUUAAAUGUAUUCUGACAGCUUUAGAGAUAGAGUUUCCUUCGGGCAGAUUACAAGGUGCUGCAUGGUUGUCGUCAGCUCGUGCCGUGAGGUGUCAGGUUAAGUCCUAUAACGAGCGCAACCCCUGCCGUUAGUUGCCAGCAUGUAAAGAUGGGGACUCUAACGGGACUGCCGGUGCAAACCGUGAGGAAGGUGGGGAUGACGUCAAAUCAUCACGGCCCUUACGUCCUGGGCUACACACGUGCUACAAUGGUAGGUACAGAGAGCAGCCAUGUCGCAAGGCAGCGCGAAUCUAUAAAGCCUAUCAC
rnacentral:rRNA from 1 species